AGGGAUUGGUCAGAGUUUCUCCCAAGCCUUUGUUUUCCAAGUGAAAAUCCAAAAGGGGGAAUUGUAGGUGCAGCUUUGCCCUGGAGCUGCAGCUGGAGCCUGGCAAAGAACAAGGAAAACCUCCCUGGGGAAGGAAGGGGGAGAAAGACAAGAACAGCAGCUGCAGCCAGAAAGGUUGGUUUGGGUGUGAGAAGAGCUGCUGAGACCCAGCAAGGGGCUCUAGGGGGAGGAAUCUGGGGUCCCUCCAAAGGCUCUGGGGUCCCUGCCAUGGCCGUGAGCAGAGCUGCUGCCGCCCCAGCGAGAGGCGAGAGCAGUGGCUGCCCAGAAGCAAGAAAGCCAAGAGAGCUGAACGAGGGGCACGUGGGCAGGGCCAGGAGGGAGGAGAGAAGGAAUUUGUUCCU